rnacentral:rRNA from 1 species
GACGAACGCUGGCGGCGUGCCUAAUACAUGCAAGUCGAGCGAAGCGGCGGAUGGGUGAGUAACGCGUGGGUAACCUGCCCUUAAGUCUGGGAUACCAUUUGGAAACAGAUGCUAAUACCGGAUACUAAAGGAUGGACCUGCGAUGCAUUAGCUAGUUGGUAAGGUAACGGCUUACCAAGGCGAUGAUGCAUAGCCGAGUUGAGAGACUGACGGCCCACAUUGGGACUGAGACACGGCCCAAACUCCUAUGUGAGGCAGCAGUAGGAAAUCUUCCAAAAUGGACGAAAGUCUGAUGGAGCAACGCGGCGGGAGUGAAGAGGGUUUUCGGAUCGUAAAGCUCGGUUGUUGGUGAAGCGGUAAUCAACCAGAAAGUCACGGCUAACUACGUGCCAGCCGCCGCGGUAAUAC